rnacentral:rRNA from 1 species
UACGAAGGGGGCUAGCGUUGCUCGGAAUGACUGGGCGUAAAGGGCGCGUAGGCGGCUUGCACAGUCAGGCGUGAAAUUCCUGGGCUCAACCUGGGGACUGCGCUUGGAGACGUGUGGGCUUGAGUGGGGAAGAGGGUCGUGGAAUUCCCAGUGGUAGAGGUGAAAUUCGUAGAUAUUGGGAAGAACACCGGUGGCGAAGGCGGCGACC